UACGUAGGGAGCAAGCGUUGUUCGGAUUUACUGGGCGUAAAGGGCGCGUAGGCGGCAGAUUAAGUCAGCUGUGAAAUCUCCGAGCUUAACUCGGAACUGUCAGCUGAUACUGUUUUGCUAGAGUGCGGAAGGGGCAAUCGGAAUUCUUGGUGUAGCGGUGAAAUGCGUAGAUAUCAAGAGGAACACCUGAGGUGAAGACGGGUUGCUGGGCCGACACUGACGCUGAGGCGCGAAAGCCAGGGGAGCAAACAGG
rnacentral:rRNA from 1 species